rnacentral:rRNA from 1 species
UACGUAGGUGGCAAGCGUUGUCCGGAUUUAUUGGGCGUAAAGCGCGCGCAGGUGGUGCGGUAAGUCUGCCGUGAAAUCUCCCGGCUCAACUGGGAGGGGGCGGUGGAGACUGCCGGACUAGAGGGACUCAGAGGCCGGUGGAAUUCCCGGUGUAGUGGUGAAAUGCGUAGAGAUCGGGAGGAACACCAGUGGCGAAGGCGGCCGGCUGGGGGUGCCCUGACGCUGAGGCGCGAAAGCGUGGGGAG